UGUGCAAUAAUGUGUCGCUUCAAAGCACCUAGCAGGGUAAUAGAGAUUUUUUGGUGUCAAAUAGAGUAGUUUUUAGUACGAGUUGCCAUUUACAUUAUAUUAGACAGGAGUCGCCGUGAGAUGCCGCAUUGGAGGCAAAUUUGAAAACGAAAAAGUGGUUACUGCGAAGAAUUUUCAUUUAACUUUUAUUUAAGAAUUUACAUUGAGUUACGUAAUUUAGUUAUUUGUAUG